rnacentral:sRNA from 1 species
CUCUUUACUUCUUUUCUCUCACAAUCUUCUUCAGUGCUCUCUUCUCUCUCUUCCUCUGAAUUGUGCUGGGUCAUGUGACUGCAAGAUGUCACAGAGGACACAGUCUUUUCUUCACUCUUCUCUUUAUUUUUCUUUUCAGAAUACUCACUUUUUCUUUUUUCUUUUGUCUAUCUCAUCUGUUCUUUCUCUGCUGUUAGAAGCAUAGACAGUUCUCAGAUCAACUGAGAGAGUUAUCCCUCUUCAUUCACUGUAAAGUCUUUCAGACACAGCAGUGUGACGGGUUAGCAUCUGUUAGUAAUUAACUUACGCAAUCAACUCCCCUCCUGCACCCGCUUGUUCCUGGCUGUUGUGACCUUGCAUAACCCUCGAUGUUCUUCCGCUCUGUGCUCUGUGCUCGCAUAGUCUCUAACAAUUCUUCUGCAUAGCUUCUUAUGUUCCCCUGCUCUGUGUUUCAUGCUUGUGUAGUCUCUAACAAUUCUUCUGUGUAGCUUCUUAUGUUCUCCUGCUCUGUGUUUCAUGCUUGUGUAGUCUCUAAUGAUUCUUCUGUGUAGCUCUCAAUGAUUCCCCUGCCCCACAUUCCAUGCUUGUGUAGCUUCUAACAAUUCUUAUGUGUACCCCUUAAUGUUCUUCUGCUUCAUGCUCCACUGUGGAGCAGCUUCUGAUAUUCUUCUGCUCUGAACUUUCUUCUAUAAGAACCCUCUUUGUACAACCUUUUCUUCUGAUUUCUUUUCUCUUUCUUUCCUUAAUCAAUUUGUAAUCUGUAAUUAGGAUAGUACCAAAUUGUUAAUCAAAGUACACCCA